CUAAAAGCUAGCCGCAGCGGCUGCAAGUGGCAGAAGCGGCCAACAACUUCCGCUCGGUGCCGACCUCCGAAACGCGCCGUGAUUGGUGGACGCGGACACGCGCUGUAGCAGGACAGCAUUCUUGAUGGUUCCAAUUUCCAACCCAUUCCCCAAUUUUCAACUCCAAUGACAGGCAACACAUGCAGGAAUGGCUGUUUAGCUACAGAAGGGAGCUGGAGGAACCGACCCCCUGAUCUCCGUCUGAUCCUCCUGCGUGACGCAGCGUCUUCCUCCCUGCGCUCGGCGGAGACGUAACCCCCCGUGGCCUUUGACAUAUGAUUGGAGUGACAGUCAUCCGGGCCUCGGAGAGCCCCUCCGCCGGUGACGGCCAUUAUGCGGAGCGCCAAGAGAUGGCAGUAUUUCACAGAACAUGUGGCGGCAGGCGGGUGGAUUAGCAGGAGCCGCUGCAGCACCGCUGGUGUACUGUGUGAAGCAGAGAAGAGAGGGCGAGAGAGAGAGAGAGAGAGAGAGAGAGAGAGAGAGAGAGAGAAAGAGAGAGUCUUAUGAGGACUUGUAAAGGAAUAUCUAAGGAGAAUAUUAUCAUCCCAUUGCUUGCCUCAUCUCUAUAUGUCUCCUUUUAAUAUUUACAUCUUCCAGCUGGAUGGAGCGGCGCUACUGGCCCUCGGUUCCAGUGUGUGUUUAAAAGAUUAAAAAAAAAGGAAAGAGUUGUGAAUGUUGAUGAAGUAAUAUAGUGAAUCUGAGUCAAUUUAUUUGCUAAACAGAUGGAGCCGUUUCCUGUGUGUUGGCUUCACUGAGACAGAUUAUGACUCAAUCUUUUAUCACACACGGCAGUCAUCAACUAUUACAAUUAAACGCUUUAUUUAGUCAUAGGAAAUAACACACAUGCUGUUAGCGAGAUGUUAGUCAGAUAUUUGUAUAAAAUAGGCUUUUUUCAAUGCGAUCUGAUAUCGGUUUCAUGCUUCCUGCUCAUGAGUGCGUCCCGUCCGGCCUGGUGAG